rnacentral:rRNA from 1 species
UGAGUACGAGAUGCUACGGCAUCGAAGCAGUCUAUGUCAUACUUCCAAGAAAAGCUUGCAAUGUCAUAAACAAAUAAUGCCUGUACCAUAACCGACACAGGUGGGUAGGUAGAGUAUACUAAGGGGCGCGAGAUAACUCUCUCUAAGGAACUCGGCAAAAUGACUCCGUAACUUCGGGAGAAGGAGUGCCUUAUUUUUAUAAGGUUGCAAUAACAAGAUCCAAGCAACUGUUUACCAAAAACACAGGUCUCCGCUAAGUCGUAAGACGAUGUAUGGGGGCUGACGCCUGCCCAGUGCCAGAAGGUUAAAGAAGUUGGUUAGCAUUAGCGAAGCUGAUAACUGAAGCCCUGGUGAACGGCGGCCGUAACUAUAACGGUCCUAAGGUAGCGAAAUUCCUUGUCGGGUAAGUUCCGACCCGCACGAAAGGCGUAAUGAUUUGGAUACUGUCUCGGAGAGGGGCUCGGUGAAAUAGACUUGUCUGUGAAGAUGCGGACUACCUGCACCUGGACAGAAAGACCCUAUGAAGCUUUACUGUAACUUGAGAUUGAAAUUGGACUUUAUCUGCGCAGUAUAGGUGGGAGACGUUGAAAAUAUUCUUGCGGGAAUAUUGGAGUCAUCAGUGAGAUACCACUCUUAUAAUGUUAGAUUUCUAACUUUGUAUCAUUAUCUGGUCAAAGAACAGUUUCAGGCGGGCAGUUUGACUGGGGCGGUCGCCUCCCAAACGGUAACGGAGGCGCACAAAGGUUUCCUCUGAACGUGUAGAAAUCGUAUCUAGAGUGUAAAGGCAUAAGGAAGCUUGACUGUGAGACCUACAAGUCGAGCAGGGACGAAAGUCGGUCUUAGUGAUCUGACGGUGCUGAGUGGAAAGGCCGUCACUCAACGGAUAAAAGUUACUCUAGGAUAACAGGCUGAUCUCCCCCAAGAGUUCACAUCGACGGGGAGGUUUGGCACCUCGAUGUCGGCUCAUCGCAUCCUGGGGCGGUAGUACGUCCCAAGGGUUGGGCUGUUCGCCCAUGAAAGCGGUACGCGAGCUGGGUUCAGAACGUCGUGAGACAGUUCGGUCCAUAUCCGGUGUAGGCGUUAGAAUAUUGAGAGGAGCCUUCUUUAGUACGAGAGGGCCGAGAAGGACAUACCUCUGGUGUACCAGUUAUCGUGCCAACGGUAAACGCUGGGUAGCCAUGUAUGGAGAGGAUAACCGCUGAAAGCAUCUAAGUGGGAAGCCCACCUCAAGAUAAGUA